UACGGAGGAUGUAAGCGUUAUCCGGAUUCAUUGGGUUUAAAGGGUGCGUAGGCGGACUAUUAAGUCAGUGGUGAAAGCCUGCAGCCUAACUGCAGAACUGCCAUUGAUACUGAUAGUCUUGAGUUUGGUUAAGGUAGGCGGAAUGUGUAAUGUAGCGGUGAAAUGCUUAGAUAUUACACAGAACACCAAUUGCGUAGGCAGCUUACUAAACUACUACUGACGCUCAGGCACGAAGGCGUGGGGAUCAAACAGGAUUAGA
rnacentral:rRNA from 1 species